rnacentral:rRNA from 1 species
CCCUUAGAUGUUCUGGGCCGCACGCGUGCUACACUGAGUGGAUCAGCGGGUCAGGUUGCGCGAAAGUGUUUCCUAAUCUUUAAAUCCGCUCGUGAUGGGGAUUGACGGUUGCAAUUUUCCGUCAUGAACGAGGAAUACCUUGUAAGCGCGGGUCAUCAUCCCGCGCUGAAUACGUCCCUGCCCUUUGUACACACCGCCCGUCGCUCCUACCGAUUGGGUGGUCCGGUGAGGCUUUGGGAUCUGAGCGGAAAGAGCGUUUCGCUGUUUCUGCUCGGAAAACUCAGUCGAACCUUAUCAUUUAGAGGAAGGAGAAGUCGUAACA